CUCGCGAGGAGAAGUCUCGCGAGAGCUCGGGGGAAGGUGUCAUAUGACCCCAGCGGUUGCCAAGAUGGCGCCGCCCAGGCGCCGCCGGAGAGGGGAGACGAGACAAAACAAAACAAAAUAAAAUAUAAUAUGGUGUAAUCCCGGGGUAACGGGGCUCUAGGGCGGCUGCUGCGGCCUCAGCGCCGCUGGAUCGGUGCUGGGCCGGCAGUGCCAGCCAGGGAAGGUCCAAAGCUGCCGGUGUCGCCUGGCCGGGCCCCGAAUAAAACGGGCUCAAGCCAGUUGAAAUGCGUUAAACCCGGGUAAACCCAGCUAAAACGGCAUGGAACGUGCUAAAUCCGACUGGUACCGGGUGGCCUUUGGUCGCAGCCAGGGGAGGGAGCCGCGGAACCCCACCCCGGUGCCGGCCGUGGCCACCGGGAGCUGCUGGAUGUGUCACGGGGUUGGGCCGGAUCAACAAAUCAUAAAUUCGAGAGAGGAAUGCGGUACUAGCACAGAGACAGCAGCCACAGGACACCUGGAUCUUUCAGAGAAAGAGAAUUUAUUGCUCCAUUAUCAGAAGAAAGGAACUUCCUGCCUCGCUCAGCCCUGAGACACCGUCAGGAUUCAGAGGAAGAAGCUGACACUGCCCAGACAGAAUCCUGUGUUUGAAUGGAAUUUAUGCAUCAUGGAUGAGGUGCAUGAAUAUGCAACAGGCUGUUGCUUUUAAGGGUUAAUCCUCUGUUAAUGUGGGUCCUUUUUUGGGCUUAUUUUGCCCAGAAAAGGUUCCCAGACCGUCCCUAACUCUUUGUUUUUAUUGUCUUGUAUUGUCCUAAUCCAAAUUGUCCAAAUUAUUAUUGCUCUAAAUAUAUUGCUAUUUUUAUAACCCUUUUAUUACUAUUAAACUUUUAAAAUUUUAAAUACAAGUGAUUGGCGUUUUUCACAAUUAGAAAGUUAUACUGUAUUAAUUUUAUUAAGUAGUGUGUUAAAUAUAGCUUUAGGUUAUAACAUAAUGUUAAAAUAGAAACUAUGCUGUGUAAGAUACUUUUUUAAAGAGAGAACUCACACCAGAUAGCAGCCCGAUAGCAUUGUCUUAAUCGUAAUUGUUCAAAUUUUUAUUACUCUAAUUAUAUUGCUAUUUUUAUAACCGUUUUAUUACUAUUAAACUUUUAAAAUUUAAAAAAACAA